rnacentral:rRNA from 1 species
UACGUAGGGGGGCAAGCGUUGUCCGGAAUUAUUGGGCGUAAAGCGCGCGCAGGCGGUUGAUUAAGUUUGGUGUUUAAGCCCGGGGCUCAACCCCGGUUCGCACUGAAAACUGAUCGACUUGAGUGUAGGAGAGGAAAGUGGAAUCCACGUGUAGCGGUGAAAUGCGUAGAGAUGUGGAGGAACACCAGUGGCGAAGGCGACUUUCUGGCCUAUAACUGACGCUGAGGCGGCGAAAAGCGGAUGGGGAGCCAAA